GCAAUAAUAACUUCGAUGCAGGGCAUUUCCUGAGGAUUAAUGACUGUCUGGGGUCAUCAUCUCCUCCCAGUUAGUUAUUAAUCCCCAGGAAAUACUCUGUGCCUUGAUCAUUAUUGCUU
rnacentral:precursor_RNA from 7 species